AGCGAACGCUGGCGGCAGGCCUAACACAUGCAAGUCGAACGAACCCUUCGGGGUUAGUGGCGGACGGGUGAGUAACACGUGGGAACGUACCUUUAGGUUCGGAACAACACAGGGAAACUUGUGCUAAUGCCGAAUGUGCCCUUCGGGGAAAGAUUUAUCGCCUUUAGAGCGGCCCGCGUCUGAUUAGCUUGUUGGUGAGGUAAAGGCUCACCAAGGCUACGAUCAGUAGCUGGUCUGAGAGGAUGAUCAGCCACACUGGGACUGAGACACGGCCCAGACUCCUACGGGAGGCAGCAGUGGGGAAUCUUGCGCAAUGGGCGAAAGCCUGACGCAGCCAUGCCGCGUGAAUGAUGAAGGUCUUAGGAUUGUAAAAUUCUUUCACCGGGGAAGAUAAUGACGGUACCCGGAGAAGAAGCCCCGGCUAACUUCGUGCCAGCAGCCGCGGUAAU
rnacentral:rRNA from 1 species